rnacentral:rRNA from 1 species
AAUAUUUGGCAAUGGGCGCAAGCCUGACCCAGCAACGCCGCGUGAGGGAAGAAGGUCUUCGGAUUGUAAACCUCUGUCCUAUGUGACGAAGGAAGUGACGGUAGCAUAGGAGGAUGCCCCGGCUAACUACGUGCCAGCAGCCGCGGUAAUACGUAGGGGGCGAGCGUUGGCCGGAAUUACUGGGCGUAAAGGGUGCGUAGGUGGAACUUUAAGUUGGAUGUGAAAUCCCCGUGCUUAACAUGGGAGCUGCAUCCAAUACUGGAGAGCUAGAGUGCAGGAGAGGUAAGCGGAAUUCCUAGUGUAGCGGUGAAAUGCGUAGAUAUUAGGAGGAACACCAGUGGCGAAGGCGGCUUACUGGACUGUAACUGACACUGAGGCACGAAAGCGUGGGGAGCAAACA